rnacentral:rRNA from 1 species
UACGUAGGGCGCAAGCGUUAUCCGGAAUUAUUGGGCGUAAAGGGCUCGUAGGCGGUCUGUCGCGUCGGGAGUGAAAACUUACAGCUUAACUGUGAGCGUGCUUCCGAUACGGGCAGACUUGAGGUAUUCAGGGGAGAACGGAAUUCCUGGUGUAGCGGUGAAAUGCGCAGAUAUCAGGAGGAACACCGGUGGCGAAGGCGGUUCUCUGGGAAUAUCCUGACGCUGAGGAGCGAAAGUGUGGGGAGCGAACAGG